rnacentral:tRNA from 1 species
AUUAAGUUAGGUUAAAAUAAAACUUUUAGACUUCAAAUCUUAGAAUGAAUUAUAAUUAUUCACUUUUUG